CGUCACUUCCAGAUACUCGUUUCUGGCACCGAACCCAAAAGAUGGCCACUAUCGAGGCGAUGCCGGCGUUCUCCCUCCCUCCCCGUUCCAGAGUCGAACGCGACGGCGACGGCCGUUAGAACCCUUGAUGACGCAUCCACCUCGCCGUUUUGGGUGCUGCGUUUGCUUUGCAGUGAAGAUUGCAGUGAAAACCUCAGGAGUAGCAGAGUGGUUUCCGACACUUGAAUAUCCAGAAAACUGCUUUAAGAAUCCCAUAAGAAGGAACACAUCUAUGGAUUAUGGAUCAUGUUCUCUGUCACACGAAAUGUUGUAUCAGCUUGCAGUUCUUAAUUGCAGACAUGGUGAGCUCUUAAGUCGUGAUUAGGCAUGCAAGUUUUCACAUGCGCCUCUUCAUUGUCAGGUUUGUCAAAAGCCUUCAUCUUGACGACCUUCCAAAUGUUUGAUUGGAUCUGCAUCAUUUCUUAAGGAAGCCCAAUGCAGACACCUGAAUCCAUCACCAGUCAGCAGCAGCCACCCGACCAUAAAUUUGAGCUUGAUGAGUAACAUAUUUAUGCAAAAGAGCCAUCCUGUUGUUGGAAAUUCCUCUACAAGAUCGGGAAGAAAUGUGAACCCAUCGAUAGUGAUAUGGGUCUUUCGUGGAUCCCACCCAAGUCCGACCUGAUAUAAUCUGGUGUAGGUGAAGCUUAUUUUGCUCAUCGCGGAGAAGCUGGAACCGUAGCAGACAUCAUAAAAGGUGAAACCGGAGCAAACAGAGAAGAAACUUGAUUCUGAGAACUCCUUGCAGGAUUUGGGUUCAAUGCUAUCCGAGUGUCCCAGAUUCUCUCCAUGCAUGUGAGUCCAAGGCAAACUGCUGUAGAUUGCAUUGAGCAAUCAACAUCAACGACUCCAUCUCCCUCAAGGCCCUACUCGAAACCUAGCAGCAGCAGCAGACAUGAUUAGAGUGCUCAGUUCACAACCCUUAUUCCUGUGGGCUAUGCCUCUGUCCCCAUGAGCAAAGUGCCAAGCUGAUACCACAGCAAGCUCCAAGAUGAACACUUUGUACCGAGAGAAGGAAAAGGUCAAUGAAAUGAGAGCCACCCAGCCUCAACCACACUGCUGCACUUGGAGCUGUUCCAGUGUCCUCCGAAAGGACAACUACUCAUGAAUGGUCUUUUGUUCUCAUCCACGGAGCUACUGUUCCCUCUCUGACUUGUGAAAGGGACUUGGCCUUCGUCUCUCCCCUUCCCAUGGGGUAGAUGACCUCAUGCACUCUCGGGAGUUCAUCGGGAAGUGUUUCACUCGGAGAUUCCACUGCUGCUUCUCAACGAUCCAUUUGAGUUCAUCAUGACCAUAUUCAGCAGGAAUGUGAUUGGAAAUUGUGAAAGCUGGGGGAAGCCUGUUGAUUGCAACAUUGCGGGAAACAAGCUCUCAUCUCUAAUUGUCCAUCAACCCCGAGAGGUGAAAUCAUUCUACUGGUGUUAGCAAAAUGAGGAUGCGAUUUACGUCUUGUCGAUGUGUUUUAGCGUCUCAGGAAACUGUGGUAUAUGUGCCUGCACUGUACUGCAAGCCGUAGUUCACGAGAACACCUUCGGUUCACAUGCUUCCCACCUCCAUUUCGGUCCUAUUAUCGAAUACCUCCUGUUAAGAUC